AUUUUUUUUUCUUUCAAUUUCUCUUCUAAAAAGAAAGUAAGUACAGUAACAUAGUUUGAUUUCUGAGGUGAGAGGGGUAUCAGAUUAAUUGGGAAGAGUGAAGAGCCCCGCGAAUUCAUCCUGGUGUUGUGAUGAUGGAUUUAGGCUUGCCAGAAAAAAUGUUCUAACCUGCAUGCGGGUGCAAAGUACUAGUUGAUUGCGGCGGGGUAGUUGUUGCCCGAUUGUCAAGGCAUCUUAUAUCCCUGUCUUCCCAACAAAUAAUAGGGGGUGGUUGAAAAUAACUAAUUAAUAGCUCUAUACAUAAGACAAGAACAGCAAGAAAACAUGAAGAACAUGCCGAAGGAGACCUAUAUUAGCUGCUGGACUAAUAUAGGAGGACAAUAUGUUGAAGCUCGUGAUAAAAGGAGAAACCGACUCUCUGGAAAUACCCUCCCCAUCAGUCUUUAGACCGAUAAAGCUAACGGCUGUGCAGAGUCAAGAUGAUGUGUCAUGUGUGAAAAAUGACUUGAUUCUAGGACAAAAUUGUUAUUUGUUAUUUUAGGAUAAACCAUAAGUCUAAACAUAAUCAAUAAAU